rnacentral:lncRNA from 10 species
GAAGGUAGAAGGUGGGGUCUGCCGGACGCGUGUUCCUGCCACCAGGUGCCCGCUCCCCGCGAGGCCGGCUCAGGAGCAGAAGGAAGCCCGGUGCCAGCCAGCCUUCCUGAAAGACCAAGCCCGCGCCAUCCGGCUUCCUCCAGUGGACGCCUGCAGGACCCAGGAAUGUUUUUCUUGAAGGCAUCCAGCAUCUCCAGUUAGCAGUACUGAUUUUUUUUCCCCCCAACAAAGGAACACUACAUCAACACUGUUGGCGGGGACCUGGACACAGAAGACUCCUGUUUCAAGAAAAUACAAUCAUCUCUCAAAGGCUGUAAUUUAUAUGCAUUUUAAAACUCUAGGCAUUGAAAACCACCCAAGUGUCCCAAAUAGAAGGGUAAUAUAUAAUCAAUCACUCAGUGUAAUAUUAUACAUCCUUUAAAAAUGUUAUUGGGAAAUGUUUUAUGAUCUGUAAGUCCAAGGAAUCCUCUCCCACCAUUUCUUUCCCCCCGCUGUUCCCCCAUACCCACACUUCUUUGUUCCAAUUGGCAUGUAAAUUUGGUUUUCCCGCCAAAUGAGUCAGUCAUGAUGGGAACCUCAACUGAUUUGAACAGAUGUGUGUCAAUGUUACUUGGAAAACUAGAUGUCAAUAACCAGGGUCACAGAAAAAGGCAGUGGUCACAACUCUGUAAAAAUGUAUGCAUGCACACAGACAAGAACUAAAGUGGAACCCCACACAGGAAAACAGUGGGCUGUACUCCAGUGCUGGGACAUUGAAUGACUGUAUGCUGCUUUUGAUUUCCGUUA